rnacentral:rRNA from 1 species
ACAGCAGUAGCCACGGGAAUACAGAGGGUGCGAGCGUUAAUCGGAUUUACUGGGCGUAAAGCGUGCGUAGGCGGCUUUUUAAGUCGGAUGUGAAAUCCCUGAGCUUAACUUAGGAAUUGCAUUCGAUACUGGGAAGCUAGAGUAUGGGAGAGGAUGGUAGAAUUCCAGGUGUAGCGGUGAAAUGCGUAGAGAUCUGGAGGAAUACCGAUGGCGAAGGCAGCCAUCUGGACUGAUACUGACACUGAGGUGCGAAAGCGUGGGGAGCAAACAGGAUUAGAUACCCCUGUAGUCCCUGUCUCUUAUAC